GGGUUAAUGACUGAGCCCGGUUUAUAGUGAUGGAUUGUAAAUCCAUUGGGUAAUCCCAUCGUAGGUUCGAAUCCUACUUAACCCA
rnacentral:tRNA from 1 species